rnacentral:tRNA from 1 species
UCCUCUGUAGUUCAGUUAGGUAGAACGGCGGACUGUUAAUCCGUAUGUCACUGGUUCGAGUCCAGUCAGGGGAGCCA